rnacentral:rRNA from 1 species
GACGAACGCUGGCGGCGUGCUUAACACAUGCAAGUCGAACGCUGAAGCUCAGCUUUUGUUGGGUGGAUGAGUGGCGAACGGGUGAGUAACACGUGAGUAACCUGCCUCCUUCUUUGGGAUAACGCCCGGAAACGGGUGCUAAUACUGGAUAUUCACUGGUCUUCGCAUGGGGGUUGGUGGAAAGGGUUUUUCUGGUGGGGGAUGGGCUCGCGGCCUAUCAGCUUGUUGGUGGGGUGAUGGCCUACCAAGGCUUUGACGGGUAGCCGGCCUGAGAGGGUGACCGGUCACAUUGGGACUGAGAUACGGCCCAGACUCCUACGGGAGGCAGCAGUGGGGAGUAAUGCACAAUGGGCGCAAGCCUGAUGCAGCGGCGCCGCGUGAGGGAUGGAGGCCUUCGGGUUGUGAACCUCUUUCGCUCAUGGUCAAGCCGCAACAAUGGUUGUGGUGAGGGUAGUGGGUAAAGAAGCGCCGGCUAACUACGUG